rnacentral:SRP_RNA from 2 species
AAUACUUUUUGGGGCAAUAUUUUGUUUAUGAAGCGUGUCAGGACCUGACGGUAGCAGCACUAAGUAGGCAAGGUAUGUGCCCUUUUUUGAUUUUAUUU